rnacentral:rRNA from 1 species
AUGGCGGCAGCGGCAGCCGUCGUCGGGGGCAUGGUUGCCUCGGGUGUCAUCAAGGUGGUGAUAAAACAGAUCGGCUCCGCCAUCGGCGGCAAGAUCAAGCUGCACAAGAACCUGAAGAGAGACCUGCAGAAGAUGCAGAUGACGCUGGAGUCGGUGGAGGCCGCGCUCAGCGACGCCGAGAGGCGGUCCAUCACCGACAGCUCGGCGCUGCUGUGGGUGAACCGGCUCAAGGCCGCCAUGUAUGACAUCUCCGACAUGCUCGACGACUUCCAAUCUGACACCCAGUCCCUGUUCGGAGCUAUGAGGAAGAGGAUCAGUAUGCCAGACAAGAUGAAAAAGAUGCAAAAGUGUCUACAGAAGAUAACAGAAGACCAUCAGAACUAUCGUCUAACGCCAGAAACUUGCACCAAUGAGCAGCAACUUCCUGAUAUCCGGGAAAAUGCAGGGACUAUGGUGGAAGCAGAAAUCAUCGGGAGGGCCGAGGAAAAACUGGAAAUCUUGGCUCGAUUGUCUGGGAGCGCCAGUGAACAUACCACCUUUGUUCCCAUAUGGGGCUUUGGAGGCAUUGGAAAGUCCACCUUGGCAAGAUCGGUUUACAAUCAUCCUGAGUUUGAGAAACACUCUCGGGUAUGGAUCUAUGUUUCCCAGAUAUUUGACUUGAAAAAAAUUGGCAACACUAUAAUAUCACAACUAUCAAGACAACAGAGCCAGCAGAUACUUGAUCUGCACAGUAUUAACAUUCGCCUGCAAGAGCUACUUGCUGAGAAGAAGAAUGCUCUGAUCAUUUUGGAUGACCUGUGGGAGAAGCGUCCUUCUCAACUAGAAGAAUUAAAGUCUAUGCUGAAGCAGGGUAAGGGGUGCAAGGUGAUGGUUGUAGUUACCACACGUGAUGAAGGCAUUGCAAAUGAGAUCUCCACUGUUCAGCCUUACAACUUACCUCAAUUGUCAGAUGAGAUGUGCUGGGAAAUAAUGAGGCAAAAAAGUAAAUUUGAAACAAGAGAUGACAAAGAAUGGCUGGAGCCAAUUGGAAAGGAUAUUGCAAAGAAGUGCAAAGGUGUAGCUUUAGCUGCUCAAUCACUUGGACACAUUUUGAAGUCCAAGUCUUAUGGAGAAUGGAAUUCGGUCAGAACCAAUCAUAUCUGGAAUCUAUCUACUUCUACAGAUGCAUCAUCUGGACAUGAAGUGCUUGGAUCCUUGCUGUUAAGCUACAACCUCAUGCCUCCAUACUUAAAGUUAUUCUUUGCUUAUUGUGCAAUCCUUCCAAAGGGUCGCAAGAUGAAUAAAUAUAAGCUAAUCCAUCAAUGGAUUGCUCUUGGAUUCAUGGAGCCAUCUAGUAUAUUCUCUAAUUGGCAACUCGGUGAAAGUUACAUUAUGCAGCUUCUGGAGAUGUCAAUUCUUCGACAUUCAAAGGCUGUCGUUGAAUGUUACGACACAAACAAGAUUGUCACACUGUUCACAAUGCAUGACCUGGUGCAUGACCUCGCAAGGUCAGUCAUGGCUGACGAAUUUAACUUGACGGGCCCCAACUGCCGCUAUGCAUGGAACAUAGAUUGCACGAAGCCACUAAAGUCAUCCACGACUUCACCUGAAAAGUUAAGGGCGCUGAAUAUUGUGCGCGCAGCUGGAACCUCAUGGUCUAAGUUCCAUCAUGAUGCAAUUGCACCAGCAAAGUACGUCCGUGUCUUGCAUGCAUCAGUCAAAUCGAAUAGGUUGUUCACUUCUAUUGGUCAAUUGAAGCAGUUGAGGUAUCUUCAUGCUCCAAAUAUCCAGGGUCGAGUGGAUCUCGGGUGUAUCGGUUGUCCGAAUCUGAAAGAACUCCCACAUUCGUUUGCGAAUCUCAAAGAGUUGGUAUAUCUGAACUUAUCAGAGAGUGAUAAUGUUUUAGGACUACACGAAGCUUUGGCUAACCUUUCCAAACUCCAACAUUUAGAAUUAACAGCAUGUGAAAAUCUCAGAGGACGUCCAGAAGUCAUCAGCAAUCUCACCGAACUCCGCAAUCUGAAGCUAUCAGGGUGCAUGCAUCAUAUAUUUGACAGCUCAUCAACAGAUCAAACUGAGAGUUUCAUUGACUGUAUCUGUAGGCUUCCCAAUAUGGAGCACCUGGACCUGUCUUUUAAUGGUCAUCCUCUUAUUAGUAUACCACAAAGUGCUAGCUGCCUCCAGAAGCUGGUCCUUCAAAACUGCAGCCAUGUUUUUAGGCUUCCAGAAUGUGUGGCUAAAAUGGACUGUCAAAGCCUUUUUGGCUUGUUGCCAAUGUUUUCUGUAACUGUCGAGGAUAGUAAAUGUUACACCAGCCUUGGCUUGCUUGAGCAUGUAAAUCCUGACAAGCUGUACAUCGACAAACUUGAAAAUGUGAAGUCCCGAGAAGAGGCACGCAGUGUAAAAUUGAUUGAAAAACAGAGGAUUGAAGAAUUGACAUUAAAGUGGACGCCAAAAGGGAAGAGAUCUGUGGAUGACAUGGAGUUGUUGACAGAGCUAGUGCCACCGACCGCUUUGCAGAGCUUUGGGAUAUAUGGUUAUAUUAGCGUCAGCUUUCCAAACUGGCUAAUGAGUAUUGGCAAUUAUCUCCCUAAUGUUGUCCGAAUGGAGAUGUUUGAUUUGCCCAACUGCAACAGUUUUCCACCCCUCGCCCAACUACCACCAAAUCUCCAGGUGCUUAUUCUGAAACGCAUGGAAAGCCUGCAAGAAUGGAACACAACAUACUCUAGUGGCGAGGAUGGUGUGAAUGAGCUCGUGUUCUGUAAACUUGAGGAAGUGAUUAUAAAGUAUUGCAGCAAACUGAGGAUAACACCACACCUUCCUAGAGCUGCAUCUUGGUAUAUAAAGGGAAGUGAUAAUGUGCUCAUAUCAUAG